CGAAAUCCGCUAAGGAGU
rnacentral:snRNA from 1 species